rnacentral:snRNA from 1 species
CUCCUCGACACUUGCGGGACAUUAGAUAAAAUUGGAACAACAUAGAGAAGAUUAGAAUGACCCCUGCACACACAAGAAGAUUAAAGAGUACUUCUCUUAUUUC